UCUGUUGCCAUCGGGUUAUGCCGGGCACUCUGAAGAGACUGCCGGUGACAAACCGGAGGAAGGUGGGGAUGACGUCAAGUCAGCAUGGCCUUUAUGUCUGGGGCCACACACGUGCUACAAUGGCCGGUACAAACCGUCGCGAUCUCGCGAGGGGGAGCUAAUCGGAGAAAGCCGGUCUCAGUUCGGAUUGUAGGCUGAGGGAUCGCCUGCAUGAAGUUGGAAUCGCUAGUAAUCGCGGAUCAGCACGCCGCGGUGAAUACGUUCCCGGGCCUUAUUUACACCGCCCGUCACAUCACGAAAGCCGGCUG
rnacentral:rRNA from 1 species